CACAUGAAGACGCACGCUCAGGGAAGCGCAGCACGUCUCGGGCUGGACUGUGCAGCGGAGACAGACACGGCGCGGCAAGGACACGGCUGGGGGUUCCCUGAGGCCAGGAGGAAGCAAGGGAGGGAGUCAGUCAGCCGCUGGCGGGAAAAGGGACAGCUGGUGCAGAGGCCCCGGGGGAGCUGCCUGGGCGCACUGGGCAGAGGCAGGACCAAAUGGGGGGCGGCAAGAGCCCAGGAUGGCGGCCUGGCCCUGGGCUGGUUGGAAGGGUAGAAACUGUCAGGCCUGAAGGCACAGUGGUUCUAAGACAGAGCCAACGGGAUUCCUUGAUGGAUUCGACACAGGGAUGAGAAAAGAAGGGAAUUUCCCGGGGACCACAAGCUUGCAGUGUGCACAGCAAGGGGAGUUCACUGCUGUGGGAAAGACGGGCUGGGAGGAGCUGGGAGUGGGCCUGGUCAAGUCUGAGGUCAGCACGGCUCAGCCCUAGCUGUCCAGGCUGGGAUGGACAGACGGACUGUGCGGCAGGGGAAGGCACGGUGACAGACCGAGCCGGCUAGAGGCUGAAUGAUGGGCCCUCGGGUGCUGGGUGGGGGAAGUGCCCCUGCCCCAAAGGCGGCCGCCGUCCUGACGCUGACAGCACGCGCCUCACUUGCUCUGUGCUUGCAGCACCUCAG
ensembl:lncRNA